rnacentral:rRNA from 1 species
GACGAACGCUGGCGGCGUGCCUAAUACAUGCAAGUCGAACGAGCGAGAGAGAGCUUGCUUUCUCGAGCGAGUGGCGAACGGGUGAGUAACGCGUGAGGAACCUGCCUCAAAGAGGGGGACAACAGUUGGAAACGACUGCUAAUACCGCAUAACAUAUCUGAAUGGCAUCAUUUAGAUAUCAAAGGAGUAAUCCGCUUAAGGAUGGCCUCGCGUCUGAUUAGAUAGUUGGUGAGGUAACGGCUCACCAAGUCGACGAUCAGUAGCCGGACUGAGAGGUUGAACGGCCACAUUGGGACUGAGACACGGCCCAG